UGGGGAAUAUUGGACAAUGGGCGAAAGCCUGAUCCAGCAAUGCCGCGUGAGUGAUGAAGGCCUUAGGGUUGUAAAGCUCUUUUACCCGGGAUGAUAAUGACAGUACCGGGAGAAUAAGCCCCGGCUAACUCCGUGCCAGCAGCCGCGGUAAUACGGAGGGGGCUAGCGUUGUUCGGAAUUACUGGGCGUAAAGCGCACGUAGGCGGCUUUGUAAGUUAGAGGUGAAAGCCCGGGGCUCAACUCCGGAAUUGCCUUUAAGACUGCAUCGCUAGAACGUCGGAGAGGUAAGUGGAAUUCCGAGUGUAGAGGUGAAAUUCGUAGAUAUUCGGAAGAACACCAGUGGCGAAGGCGACUUACUGGACGACUGUUGACGCUGAGGUGCGAAAGCGUGGGGAGCAAACA
rnacentral:rRNA from 1 species